rnacentral:rRNA from 1 species
GAUGAACGCUGGCUACAGGCUUAACACAUGCAAGUCGAGGGGAAACGGCAUUGAGUGCUUGCACUGAAUGGACGUCGACCGGCGCACGGGUGAGUAACGCGUAUCCAACCUUCCCGUUACUGCGGGAUAACCUGCCGAAAGGCAGACUAAUACCGCAUGUUCUUCGAUGACGGCAUCAGAUUCGAAGCAAAGACUCGUCGGUAACGGAGGGGGAUGCGUCUGAUUAGCUUGUUGGCGGGGUGACGGCCCACCAAGGCGACGAUCAGUAGGGGUUCUGAGAGGAAGGUCCCCCACAUUGGAACUGAGACACGGUCCAAACUCCUACGGGAGGCAGCAGUGAGGAAUAUUGGUCAAUGGGCGGAAGCCUGAACCAGCCAAGUAGCGUGCAGGACGACGGCCCUACGGGUUGUAAACUGCUUUUAUGCGGGGAUAAAGUGAGGGACGCGUCCCUUUUUGCAGGUACCGC